AGGUAGAGGCGCGCCUUUCAUCAGUACCCCCACCGAGCGCCAGGGUGCGCGGGGCGAAAGGGAACGGCGCCGAAGGGCUGCGGGCACCCUGGCCCGUAUGAUCCUGGGGUGCAGCGAAACACGCUGCACACUGUCGCACAUUGCGGAGAGCUGCCA
rnacentral:ncRNA from 1 species